GGAUGCGGGAUGGUUACAAAGUGUGGAUAAAGCACGCUUGCUUACAGCUAGACUCAUUUUACUGUUUUCCCACCCCAACUUUUUGUGGGAGGUCCACUUGUUAUAAAUCCCUGAGCUGAAAGAAGAGGAGAAACAGUUUGAGGAAACAGAAAUUAACCGUCUACACCGCUCACUAACGUGCACCUUCCUGCACCUACAGGGCGAGCAAUGCCACCUCCGUUCUUUUUUGAGGCAUUUUACCUUGUUCCUGACACCGUUGAGUGCCAUAUUUUGGGGGCCCCAACCUGACGGUUGCCAACCCAAGUUCUCACGACACAAAAUGAGAUAAACGAGAAGGAGAUAGCUGUCCUUGGGAGAGAAAGGAUCAGCGCCCAAAGGGUCUCGAAAGCUAAUUCACCAGCCACACUCAAAGAUCAAAAUCUUGCAGAUGUUUUAGCCUGCCGAUCCCUAUUUGGAAAGGAAGGGACAAUGUGAAACUUUUCCUUCCUCUCCACCAGGCACCACAGAUGGAGACUGGGGAGAGCUGACUUUGGGAACAAUUCUUACCCUUUGCCAACUUCUGCCAGUUUCCCCAGGAUCCCCUCUGCCGGCUCUGGAGGAGUGGGGUGUCCCAGCGGGUCUCAUCCUGGUCACCAGACACCGUAGAGGAGGAAAAAUGGUUUUCUCUCUGCUGUUUGUGGGCUGAUCAGGCAAUUCCUGAUUGAUUGGUUUAAGAUUCCAUUUCUGCAAGAGCUGAAACUCAUUAAGAUAUUCAAGAGCCAUUUCUGAAGUUAUCCCUGAGCUCUUCCUAAUAAGAGAAGCUAGAAGUUCAAAUGCCUGAGCAUCUGGAUGGUCCCGCAUGGAAUGGGAUGGGGAGAUGUGAUCUCAUUCUCCUCUGCUUCCUCCAGCCCCUACUCUGUUUUAUGAAACUGACCUCUUUUUCCA
rnacentral:lncRNA from 1 species